rnacentral:rRNA from 1 species
AGAGUUUGAUCCUGGCUCAGGACGAACGCUGGCGGCGUGCCUAACACAUGCAAGUCGAGCGAGUUGAUUUCCUUCGGGAAUGAAGCUAGCGGCGGACGGGUGAGUAACACGUGGGCAACCUGCCUCAUAGAGGGGAAUAGCCUCCCGAAAGGGAAAUUAAUACCGCAUAAGAUUGUAGCUUCGCAUGAAGUAGCAAUUAAAGGAGCAAUCCGCUUUGAGAUGGGCCCGCGGCGCAUUAGCUAGUUGGUGAGGUAACGGCUCACCAAGGCGACGAUUCGUAUCCGACCUGAGAGGGUGAUCGGCCACAUUGGGACUGAUACACGGCCCAGACUCCUACGGGAGGCAGCAGUGGGGAAUUUUGCACAAUGGGGGAAACCCUGAUGCAGCAACGCCGCGUGAGUGAUGAUGGCCUUCGGGUUGUAAAGCUCUGUCUUCAGGGACGAUAAUGACGGUACCUGAUGAGGAAGCCACGGCUAACUACGUGCCAGCAGCCGCGGUAAUACUUAUGUGGCGAGCGUUGUCCGGAUUUACUGGGCGUAAAGGGAGCGUAGGCGGACUUUUAAGUGAGAUGUGAAAUACCCGGGCUCAACUUGGGUGCUGCAUUUCAAACUGGAAGUCUAGAGUGCAUGAGAGGAGAAUGGAAUUCCUAGUGUAGCAGUGAAAUGCGUAGAGA